CUUCAUCCCCUCCCUACACCGCCAACUAACUACAGAUGACAUUAUUCCUCAAUACUCCCAACCCGAGAGUGAAGAACAAGCUCCAGUUUCCUGCGGUCUGGUCUCUCUCUCCUUCUGUUUGCCUUCCUCGGUUCCCCCGCCCCAACACUCCAGGUGUGUAGACUUCCUCCCCGUCCCCUACUCAAGCAUCGCUCCAACCAAUCCCACGCCACACCACGAGUCCCCCGCCAUAGGGAUCACACUCCUCCACACCCACCUCCACUCGGGGUCGCCGCCGCCUCCCCGGACGUUUCUCUCCACCCCUCGCUAGCGAGCCCGAGAACACGGGCGCGCGCGCACAGACAUUCUCACGCUUCCCCAACCUCCCUCCGCGCACCGGGACUGGCCGGCUUCUCCAGAGCUCAGCCAGACACUAUCCAGGUUAUGAUGAAAACCACAGUGAAAGAGACCUGGUCCCUGUCUUGAACGAACCCACUUGCUGGUAGAGAUUUCAGAAUAACGAUUAGGAUACAAUAUAAGGGAUACCGUAAUUGAGGUAAGAACAAAGUAGGAACACAUGAGGUGAAGACACACUGAGAAAGUGCCUAUGAACCAGAUCCUUACCAGACACUGAAUCUGCUGGUGCCUUCAUUUGGACUUCCUAGCCUCCAGAACUUUGAGAAAUUGCUGCUGCUUAUAAACCACCAAGUUUGUGAUACUUCAUUAUAGCAGCCUGAAUAGGCUAAAGCAAUUAUAAAUGCCACUAAAAUCACUUGUCCUUAGAAACACUUUUUAUUUGGAGUAGAAGCAACAAAAGAGAUUUCCCAGCAGUAUCAUUCUCUGGGGUUGAUUAUCAAGUGAAUUAACCAAGGGGAGCUAAUAUGAGAUACUAGCUAGUAUGUUCCAGUGCAAGUACUUUUUGUUUUUGUUUUUUUGUUUUUUUUUUUUUUUUGAGACAGAAUUUCACUU